rnacentral:misc_RNA from 1 species
ACUGACAUCUAACAUCGAUGUUUUUCCUAACCUUAAAAAUUAAAUAAAAUAAUUUCGAAUUUAAAAAUGAUGUACCCCGUUCCUGCCGGUUAUUCAAGCGACGAGGACGAUUACGAUUAUUACAGCUGUAAUAGCUUCUCAACACCAGCGUCCGUUAAACGUAACCUCAAAAUCGAAGAAACCGAUGAAAUAAAGGUUUAUAGAGCGUGUAUUGGGGGUCGAUUUGAUGAAGUUAAGGAGAUUUUAGAUCGAGGUUAUGAUGUUAAUUCGAAAUUAAAAGAGGAUUGGAGCUUGCUGCUUUUAGCAGCGUCAAUUGGAUCCCCGGAUAUUGUUCAAUUAGUUCUUGAAAGGGGAGGUGAUCCUAAUUAUAGUAGAGAUGGUUAUACGGCUUUAAUGGCAACAUCUUCUUGUACAAAAGAAACAUGUUCAUAUGAGCAAUCUUACAAAACAUUAAAAAUACUUUUAAAUGCUGGUUGUGAUCCUACAAUGAUUAAUAGGAAACGAAUGACAGCCCUGAUGUAUGCCUCAUCUUAUGGAAAUUGUUUAAUUGUUGAAGAAUUAUUGAAAUGUGAUAAUAAGGAAGUGGAAGAUAAUCAGGGGUGGACUGCUCUUUUUUGGGCAAUUGAUUCAAACCAAGUGGAUGUUGUUAAAAUGUUACUUAAUGAUGGUUUUAUUUGUGAUAAAAUGGAUAUAAGAGGUGAAACACCUACUCAAAUAGCUUUAAAACAUGGAUAUGAAGAAAUUGUUAAACUUUUACCUUCCAUAGAUGUACCUUAUGAAAAUCUCACGUGUUAUACACAAGAAAGUUUUAAUGAUUUCUUUAAUAAAGGCUGUACAUUAUUUUUAAGUGAUGUUUGCGUUAUUUUGUACGGAAUGAAUUCUGAAAACGCAAUUGAUAAAUUUAUUACAUCUAGAAUAAGCUUAUUAGAAUUUUUACAUAUAAAUGAGGAUGGUUUAAAAAAAAUUGGGGUUAAUAUGCCUUAUGAACGGUACAGGAUUUUAAAUGCUUGGCAAAUGUGGGAACCUCAAUUUUAUCGGCUUGCCGACAAAUCGUAGUAAUGAACGCAUCAUUAAAAUAUUUAAUAGAAAACGUAAACGAAUCUGAGUUGGAAAGGUUUAAAAAAGAAAUUUUAUCUUUGAAUCAGCAAGUGGAGAAAAUUGAAAAGGUUGUGGAAGUGUUAAAUAAAAAGUGUUUAUUAUGGGAUAAAAAUAAUUACUCACCUGAUUUAAUUUCAUCUUCUUCUAUAAGCAAAAUCAAAUCAAUGUUUUGGAAAAAAAUUAUUUAUAGUUUUGGGUUCCUCUCAGUUAUGGGUUUUUUUGUUUUCAAAUCAAGGUUAUUUGUUAAUUAAUAAAAUUAAAGAUAUAAAACAGAAAGAACUUCAUGUUUUGUUACAACCUUGCUACUUUUAUAGUAUUUUUAUUUUAAUAAUAAUAAAUGGGUUAACAAUUUAAA